rnacentral:rRNA from 1 species
GACGAACGCUGGCGGCGUGCUUAACACAUGCAAGUCGAACGGGAACCUUUAUUUCGGUAAAGGUGAGAGUGGCAAACGGGUGAGUAACACGUAGGCAACCUGCCGACAGGAUGGGGACAACAUUCCGAAAGGAAUGCUAAUACCGAAUGAAGUCACCGGAGGGCAUCCUCUGGUGAUGAAAGAUGGCCUCUGAAUAUGCUAUCACCUGUCGAUGGGCCUGCGUCUGAUUAGCCAGUUGGCGGGGUAACGGCCCACCAAAGCGACGAUCAGUAGCCGGUCUGAGAGGAUGAACGGCCACAUUGGGACUGAGACACGGCCCAGACUCCUACGGGAGGCAGCAGUGGGGAAUCUUCCACAAUGGGCGAAAGCCUGAUGGAGCAACGCCGCGUGAGUGAAGAAGGUCUUCGGAUCGUAAAGCUCUGUUGCACGGGACGAAAACCGAGCUUGAGAAUAUUGAGUUUGGGGACGGUACCGA